rnacentral:rRNA from 1 species
GACGAACGCUGGCGGCAUGCCUAACACAUGCAAGUCGAACGAGACCUUCGGGUCUUUGGGCGCACGGGUGCUUAACGCGUGGGGACCUGCCCUUAGGUUCCGAAUAACUCCCCGAAAGGGGUGCUAAUGCCGGAUAGGGUCUUCGGACCAAAGAUUUAUCGCCGUUGGGUGGGCCCUCGUUAGAUUAGGUGGUUGGUAGGGUAAAAGCAUACCAAGGCGAGGAUCCAUAGCUGGUCUGAGAGGAUGAUCAGACACACUGGGACUGAGACACGGCCCAGAAUCCUACGGGAGGGAGCAGUGGGGAAUAUAGGAAAAUGGGCGAAAGCCUGAUACAGCAAUGCGGGGUGAGUGAUGAAGGGCUUAGGGUUGUAAAGCUCUUUUAACCGGGAUGAUAAUGACAGUACCGGGAGAAUAAGCUCCGGCUAACUACGUG